UACGUAGGGACCAAGCGUUGUUCGGAAUUACUGGGCGUAAAGGGCUCGUAGGCGGCCAACUAAGUCAGACGUGAAAUCCCUCGGCUUAACCGGGGAACUGCGUCUGAUACUGGAUGGCUUGAGUUUGGGAGAGGGAUGCGGAAUUCCAGGUGUAGCGGUGAAAUGCGUAGAUAUCUGGAGGAACACCGGUGGCGAAGGCGGCAUCCUGGACCAACACUGACGCUGAGUGAGCGAAAGCCAGGGAGCAAACGGG
rnacentral:rRNA from 1 species